rnacentral:ncRNA from 1 species
CAGAGUAGAGCCUUUAGCGUUAAGUGCCGCGGGGACGGGGAGUUGUCCCGCGGACGAAAACGGGAGAGCCGUUGCGGUUAGGGGCUUGCAUCCCGCUGU